UAUUAUUUUAAAUAUUAGACAUUGCAAAACAACAAAGAUAGAGGUAGGUAUUAUUAAAGGCACAUCGAUAAUGCCCCACCUCUCAUGAUGUUUCAAAGAUGACCUACCCUAUUUUCUGCAUUUAUGAUUGUAUACGCAUGCCAUGCCAAUCUUUAGCACUCACCAAAGUGUCUCGUCUCUACAUCCAUAGUCAAAAUGAUGACUUCCUCUUCAUCAUCGUCAUUGCUGAUGGAGUGUAUUUUAUAUUGUUUCCUAUCCAAGAAAAAAUAAAAUAUAUACUCAACUAUAAACCGAGAAGAGAUGUGUAUAGCAAGGGUGUCACUGCUUCAUAUAUAGAAAAGGGGUGAUAAGAAACUGUAACCCUUCUUCGACAUGAUUGCUAAAUAUUGGAACCUUUGGUUCUUCUUGCUUCUUGUGUUACUGCUGGAUUCAACAUUGGCAGAGAAGUACUGUCACGAACUUGUUGGCUGGGAACUGUUGUGCAUCGACCGGACCUGCAAGUUUAGCUGUUCGGUUGGUGCUGUUCUGCAGGGAGGAAAAAUGCAGGAAUACUGGUGUGGAGGCUGGCACAAUUGUCAUUGCUUGUACUGCCUUUAGAUAUAUAUAUAGCUUCAUGCUUAUGCAAGGGAAUAGUUAAUAUCCACAAUAAGCUCUUUGCAUGGAGUUUCUCAUGUGGGCGGGUGUGUUCUUUGAUAAUUUAAAUAAAGCAAAAUUUGGUAUA